GACGAACGCUGGCGGCGUGCUUAAUACAUGCAAGUCGAGCGGGCACCAUCCGGUGGCAACACUGGUGAAGUGCUAGCGGCGAACGGGUGAGUAACACGUGAGCAACCUGCCCCCAAGUUCGGGAUAAGCCUGGGAAACCGGGUCUAAUACCGGAUGCCCUCGUCGGGCUGCAUGGUCUGACGAGGAAAGUUGUUUCGCUUGGGGAGGGGCUCGCGGCCUAUCAGCUUGUUGGUGGGGUAACGGCCUACCAAGGCGUCGACGGGUAGCUGGUCUGAGA
rnacentral:rRNA from 1 species